UACGUAGGGGGCUAGCGUUGUCCGGAUUUAUUGGGCGUAAAGAGCGUGUAGGCGGCCAGGUAGGUCUGGUGUGAAAACUCGAGGCUUAACCUCGAGAUGUCAUCGGAAACCAUCUGGCUAGAGUCCGGAAGAGGAGAGUGGAAUUCCUGGUGUAGCGGUGAAAUGCGUAGAUAUCUGGAGGAACACCGGUGGCGAAGGCGACAUCCUGGACCAAUACUGACGCUGAGGAGCGAAAGCCAGGGGAGCAAACGGG
rnacentral:rRNA from 1 species